AAUGACCAAAACAAAGCCACUCCAAUCAGCUGUUUUAACGCCAACACUCAACAUCAGGGUGUUCAUCUACAGACAGUGUAAUGACGCUCUGCAGGAAGACUGCACAGCCACUGUGCAGCCGGGCUUUGGUGGGUGACCUUCUCACAGGAAGGUAUAACCAUGGCAACAUCAACAUCCCCCGCCAGCCAGGGGUCAGUGCGCCUGCGUGACAGGUGCUUCCCCCAUAAAUAAUCCUUUACUAAACUUCCAGCCUUGCUGGUGGUACUUAAUAUGAUAUAACCUUUUAAACCCAAAACAGGGGACACUCGGAAACCCACAACACUUCUACGGGAUGCACCUGCCUACGAAAAAGGCUCCAGCCACCUCUAGGCGUGUCAAUAGAGGGCGUCACCUUGGAGAUUCUCCCAGUGAGAGGGUGUUGCUGUGGAAAUGCCAGGAACUGCACUUUGUUUUGGUGGACUUCGACUGCUCAACUCAAACCCCCUAAAAUAGGUGGAUAAACGUGUCACAGAUGGCGAUAAAAAGCAU